GUGUGUGUAUAUUUAGUAUUCUGCGUGCGAUGUGAGUCACUGAAACAAGCACAGAAGGCCAGUGGGAACCCCAUCUUAGCACACUGUCCUGGAACAUUCACCGCGCUCAACGGUUUUGUUGGGAUACUGCUCUGGUUAUGCCCCAACCUCCAGGGGAGCUGAGGGCAGCGGCUGCAGGGCUGCUUUCAGUGUUUGGUGCGAGGCGACCAUGGAGCUGGGGACAGACAUGUGGCAGGGAGCCGCGAGACCAACAGUGCCUGAGCGGGGUGUGGGUACAAGGCGUGCGGAGGGGCGUCGCCUCUUGUGUGGCAGCUCAGACGGGUGUUUGGGGCUUUAUGGCCCCGGCAGUAUGUCACUCUCCAGCUUGUCCUGGGCCUCAGACGUGGCAAGUCCUUUCUGUGCUUACAGCACUGUGCUUACAGCACUGCCGUAUACAUGGAAAUCAUUAUCUGAGAGCCACACAUGCCAAAGCCAUCUUGGAUCCUGGACGUGUGCAUUUUAAGGACAAGACGUCAACAUUAUAACAGGCUUUCUUUGGGCCCCCUACCCACCUAAAAAAAGCCGCCAGCUCCUGUCACCUUUAGCGUGAUCCUUGACCAGUAAAAAAGUCUCAAACUCUUCAUUAAUCUCCUCUUCUGGGCCCCCACAAAGCCAGGUAACACGUAUUUAGGGGACAUUUGGGUACACAAUUGCACAAAUGCAGAGAGGUUGAGAUUAUGGAAAUUUCUCUAAUUUUAUAACUCAUAACUAUUGCCCAAUGCACCCAUGGAUGUAAUUAAUGAGGUUAUAAUAUAACGUUCGGUUUUGUUUCUGGAAAUAUCCUGGCUUUGUUGUGCCUGAGUCAUAUGACAAGACACUGGAGUUUUCCAAAUAAUGUCGUAGCAUAGCAGGGUGACCUUAACAAGGUACUUUGAUGUGAGGAAUGUAACAGUACAACAUUAUGGCAAUAUCCCUUAUCCACU